rnacentral:rRNA from 1 species
UACGUAGGGUGCAAGCGUUGUCCGGAAUUAUUGGGCGUAAAGAGCUCGUAGGCGGUCUGUCGCGUCGGCUGUGAAACUUGGGGCUCAACUCCAAGCCUGCAGUCGAUACGGGCAGACUAGAGUGCGGUAGGGGAGACUGGAAUUCCUGGUGUAGCGGUGAAAUGCGCAGAUAUCAGGAGGAACACCGGUGGCGAAGGCGGGUCUCUGGGCCGUAACUGACGCUGGAGGAGCGAAAGCGUGGGGAGCGAACAGG